rnacentral:rRNA from 1 species
UUCCGGUUGAUCCUGCCGGACCUGACUGCUAUCGGAUUGGUACUAAGCCAUGCGAGUCGUUGUAGCAAUACAAGGCGGACGGCUCAGUAACACGUAGUCAACCUAACCUAUGGGCGUGGAUAACCUCGGGAAACUGAGAAUAAACCGCGAUAGAUCAUUAUGCCUGGAAUGGCUUAUGGUUCAAACAAUUUAUUGCCGUAGGAUGGGACUGCGGCCUAUCAGCUUGUUGGUGAGGUAAUGGCCCACCAAGGCUAUAACAGGUACGGGCUCUGAGAGGAGAAGCCCGGAGAUGGGUACUGAGACACGGACCCAGGCCCUAUGGGGCGCAGCAGGCGAGAAACCUUAGCAAUGUGCGAAAGCACGACUAGGUUAAUCCGAGUGAUUUCUGUUGAAGAAAUCUUUUGUCAGUCGUAAAACCACAGACGAAUAAGGGGUGGGCAAGUCUGGUGUCAGCCGCCGCGGUAAUACCAGCACCUCGAGUGGUCAGGAGGUUUAUUGGGCCUAAAGCAUCCGUAGCCGGCUUUGCAAGUCUCCGGUUAAAUCCAGCUGCUCAACAGAUGGGCUGCCGGAGAUACUACAAAGCUAGGGAGCGGGAGAGGUAGACGGUAUUCGGUGGGUAGGGGUAAAAUCCACUGAUCCAUCGAGGACCACCAGUGGCGAAGGCGGUCUACCAGAACGCGUUCGACGGUGAGGGAUGAAAGCUGGGGGAGCAAACCGGAUUAGAUACCCGGGUAGUCCCAGCUGUAAACGAUGCAAACUCGGUGAUGCAUUGGCUUAUGGCCAAUGCAGUGCCGCAGGGAAGCCGUUAAGUUUGCCGCCUGGGAAGUACGGACGCAAGUCUGAAACUUAAAGGAAUUGGCGGGGGAGCACCACAAGGGGUGAAGCCUGCGGUUCAAUUGGAUUCAACGCCGGG